AACGCGAAGAACCUUACCUGGGUUUGACAUCCUCUGACAUCCGUAGAGAUACGGCUUCUGUAGCAAUACAGCAGAGUGACAGGUGCUGCAUGGCUGUCGUCAGCUCGUGUGGUGACAUGUUGGGUUAAGUCCCGCAACGAGCGCAACCCUUGUCUUUAGUUGCCAGCAUUCAGUUGGGCUCUCUAAAGAGACUGCCGUGGUUAACACGGAGGAAGGUGGGGAUGACGUCAAGUCCUCAUGGCCUUUAUAUCCAGGGCGACACACGUGAUACAAUGGACGGUACAGAGGGAAGCGAAACCGCGAGGUGGAGCCAAUCUCAAAAAGCCGUUCUCAGUUCGGAUUGGAGUCUGCAAUUCGACUCCAUGAAGUUGGAAUCGCUAGUAAUCGCGGAUCAGCACGCCGCGGUGAAUACGUUCCCGGGCCUUGUA
rnacentral:rRNA from 1 species